UACGUAGGGGGCGAGCGUUGUCCGGAUUUAUUUGGCGUAAAGAGCGUGUAGGCGGCCAGGUAGGUCCGUUGUGAAAACUCGAGGCUCAACCUCGAGACGUCGGCGGAAACCCUCUGGCUAGAGUCCGGAAGAGGAGAGUGGAAUUCCUGGUGUAGCGGUGAAAUGCGCAGAUAUCAGGAAGAACACCCGUGGCGAAGGCGGCUCUCUGGGACGGUACUGACGCUGAGGAGCGAAAGCGUGGGGAGCGAACAGG
rnacentral:rRNA from 1 species